rnacentral:rRNA from 1 species
AGCGAACGCUGGCGGCAGGCCUAACACAUGCAAGUCGAACGAAGCCUUCGGGCUUAGUGGCGGACGGGUGAGUAACACGUGGGAACGUACCUUUUGGUUCGGAAUAACGCAGAGAAAUUUGCGCUAAUACCGGAUGAGCCCUUCGGGGGAAAGAUUUAUCGCCGAAAGAUCGGCCCGCGUUGGAUUAGGUAGUUGGUGUGGUAAAGGCGCACCAAGCCUACGAUCCAUAGCUGGUCUGAAAGGAUGAUCAGCCACACUGGGACUGAGACACGGCCCAGACUCCACGGGAGGCAGCAGUGAGGAAUUUUCCACAAUGGGCGAAAGCCUGAUGGAGCAAUACCGCGUGAAGGAUGAGGGCCCUCGGGUUGUAAACUUCUUUUAUAUGUGAAGAUUAUGACGGUAACAUAUGAAUAAGCAUCGGCUAACUACGUGCCAGCAGCCGCAGUAAUAC